rnacentral:rRNA from 1 species
AGAGUUUGAUCCUGGCUCAGGACGAACGCUGGCGGCGUGUCUAACACAUGCAAGUCGAACGGACGAGGCCCCUUCGGGGACCGAGUUAGUGGCGGACGGGUGAGUAACGCGUGAGCAACCUGCCUUUCAGAGGGGGACAACAGUUGGAAACGACUGCUAAUACCGCAUGAUGCAGCGAGAUCGCAUGGUCUUGCUGUCAAAGAUUUAUCGCUGAAAGAUGGGCUCGCGUCUGAUUAGCUAGUUGGAGGGGUAACGGCCCACCAAGGCGACGAUCAGUAGCCGGACUGAGAGGUUGAACGGCCACAUUGGGACUGAGAUACGGCCCAGACUCCUACGGGAGGCAGCAGUGGAGAAUAUUGGGCAAUGGGGGAAACCCUGACCCAGCAACGCCGCGUGAAGGAAGAAGGCUUUCGGGUUGUAAACUUCUUUUACCAGGGACGAAGAACGUGACGGUACCUGGAGAAAAAGCCACGGCUAACUACGUGCCAGCAGCCGCGGUAAUACGUAGGUGGCAAGCGUUGUCCGGAUUUACUGGGUGUAAAGGGCGUGUAGGCGGAGCUGCAAGUCAGAUGUGAAAUCUGGGGGCUUAACCCUCAAACUGCAUUUGAAACUGUAGCCCUUGAGUAUCGGAGAGGCAGGCGGAAUUCCUAGUGUAGCGGUGAAAUGCGUAGAUAUUAGGAAGAACACCAGUGGCGAAGGCGGCCUGCUGGACGACAACUGACGCUGAGGCGCGAAAGCGUGGGGAGCAGACAGGAUUAGAUACCCUGGUAGUCCACGCUGUAAACGAUGAAUACUAGGUGUGGGGGGACUGACCCCCUCCGUGCCGGAGUUAACACAAUAAGUAUUCCACCUGGGGAGUACGACCGCAAGGUUGAAACUCAAAGGAAUUGACGGGGGCCCGCACAAGCAGUGGAUUAUGUGGUUUAAUUCGACGCAACGCGAAGAACCUUACCGGGAUUUGACAUCCUACUAACGAAGCAGAGAUGCAUUAGGUGCCCUUCGGGGAAAGUAGAGACAGGUGGUGCAUGGUUGUCGUCAGCUCGUGUCGUGAGAUGUUGGGUUAAGUCCCGCAACGAGCGCAACCCCUAUUGUUAGUUGCUACGCAAGAGCACUCUAGCGAGACUGCCGUUGACAAAACGGAGGAAGGCGGGGACGACGUCAAAUCAUCAUGCCCCUUAUGUCCCGGGCUACACACGUAAUACAAUGGCGGUCAACAAAGGGAAGCAAAGCCGCGAGGCAGAGCAAACCCCCAAAAGCCGUCUCAGUUCGGAUUGCAGGCUGCAACUCGCCUGCAUGAAGCUGGAAUUGCUAGUAAUCGUGGAUCAGAAUGCCACGGUGAAUACGUUCCCGGGCCUUGUACACACCGCCCGUCACACCAUGAGAGUCGGGAACACCCGAAGUCCGUAGUCUAACCCGCAAGGGAGGGCGCGGCCGAAGGUGGGUCUGAUAAUUGGGGUGAAGUCGUAACAAGGUA